GAUGAACGCUGGCGGCGUGCCUAACACAUGCACGUCGAACGGAGAUUACGGACGGAAGUUUUCGGAUGGAAGACUGUAAUUCUUAGUGGCGGACGGGUGAGUAACGCGUGGGCAACCUGCCCUAUACAGGGGGAUAGCAGCUGGAAACGGCUGGUAAGACCGCAUAAGUCGGCGAGACCGCAUGGUUUUGCCGGGAAAUGAGCAAUCAGGUAUAGGAUGGGCCCGCGUCCGAUUAGCCAGUUGGCAGGGUAAAAGCCUACCAAAGCAACGAUCGGUAGCCGGACUGAGAGGUCGGACGGCCACAUUGGGACUGAGACACGGCCCAAACUCCUACGGGAGGCAGCAGUGGGGGAUAUUGCACAAUGGAGGAAACUCUGAUGCAGCGACGCCGCGUGAGUGAAGAAGUAUUUCGGUAUGUAAAGCUCUAUCAGCAGGGAAGAUGAUGACGGUACCUGACUAAGAAGCCCCGGCUAACUACGUG
rnacentral:rRNA from 1 species